ACUGCUCAGUAACACGUGGAUAACCUGCCCUUGGGUCCGGCAUAACUCCGGGAAACUGGAGAUAAUUCCGGAUAACGCAUAUAUGCUGGAAUGCUAUAUGCGUAAAAUGGAUUCGUCUGCCCAAGGAUGGGUCUGCGGCCUAUCAGGUAGUAGUGGGUGUAAUGUACCUACUAGCCUGCGACGGGUACGGGUUGUGAGAGCAAGAGCCCGGAGAUGGAUUCUGAGACAUGAAUCCAGGCCCUACGGGGCGCAGCAGGCGCGAAAACUUUACAAUGCGGGAAACCGUGAUAAGGGGACACCGAGUGCCAGCAUCAUAUGCUGGCUGUCCAGGUGUGUAAAAUACACCUGUUAGCAAGGGCCGGGCAAGACCGGUGCCAGCCGCCGCGGUAACACCGGCGGCCCGAGUGGUGAUCGUGAUUAUUGGGUCUAAAGGGUCCGUAGCCGGUUUGGUCAGUCCUCCGGGAAAUCUGAUAGCUCAACUAUUAGGCUUUCGGAGGAUACUGCCAGACUUGGAACCGGGAGAGGUAAGAGGUACUACAGGGGUAGGAGUGAAAUCUUGUAAUCCCUGUGGGACCACCUGUGGCGAAGGCGUCUUACCAGAACGGGUUCGACGGUGAGGGACGAAAGCUGGGGGCACGAACCGGAUUAGAUACCCGGGUAGUCCCAGCCGUAAACGAUGCUCGCUAGGUGUCAGGCAUGGCGCGACCGUGUCUGGUGCCGCAGGGAAGCCGUGAAGCGAGCCACCUGGGAAGUACGGCCGCAAGGCUGAAACUUAAAGGAAUUGGCGGGGGAGCAC
rnacentral:rRNA from 1 species